rnacentral:rRNA from 1 species
GCGGAGGAAAAGAAACCAACAGGGAUUGCCUCAGUAACGGCGAGUGAAGCGGCAACAGCUCAAAUUUGAAAUCUGGCCUCUCGGGGUCCGAGUUGUAAUUUGUAGAGGAUGUUUCGGGUACCGCUCCGGUCUAAAUUUCUUGGAACAGAAUGUCAGAGAGGGUGAGAAUCCCGUCCUGGACCGGCGGUAGGGCCCAUGUGAAGCUCCUUCGACGAGUCGAGUUGUUUGGGAAUGCAGCUCAAAAUGGGUGGUAAAUUUCAUCUAAAGCUAAAUAUUGGCCAGAGACCGAUAGCGCACAAGUAGAGUGAUCGAAAGAUGAAAAGCACUUUGAAAAGAGAGUUAAACAGUAUGUGAAAUUGUUGAAAGGGAAGCGCUUGCGACCAGACUUGAGCGCGGCGGUUCCCCCUUCCUUUUGGUUGGGUCACUCCGCCGCGUCCAGGCCAACAUCGGUUCUGGUGGUCGGUUAAAGGCCCCGGGAAUGUACCUACCCUUCGGGCGUAGACUUAUAGCCCGGGGUGUCAUGCGGCCUACCGGGACCGAGGAACGCGCUCGGCGAG